UACUUCAUCUCGUCUGAUCUCGGAAGUCAAGCAAUCUCGGGCUUGGUUAGUACUUGGAUGGGUGACCGCUUGGGAAUACCAAGUGUGAUAAGCA
rnacentral:rRNA from 1 species